AUUGAACGCUGGCGGCAGGCCUAACACAUGCAAGUCGAGCGAGCGGCGGACGGGGGAGAAAUGUGUGGGAAACUGCGCGAUGGGGGGGGAUAACUCCUGGAAACGGUAGCUCAUAUCGCAUAUCAUCUCAUGUGCCCAGAUGGGAUUAGCUAGUAGGUGGGGUAACGGCGCACCUAGGCGACGAUCCCUAGCUGGUCUGAGAGGAUGACCAGCCACACUGGAACUGAGACACGGUCCAGACUCCUACGGGAGGCAGCAGUGGGGAAUAUUGCACAAUGGGCGAAAGCCUGAUGCAGCCAUGCCGCGUGUGUGAAGAAGGCCUUCGGGUUGUAAAGCACUUUCAGCGGGGAGGCGUUACCCGCAGAAGAAGCACCGGCUAACUCCGUGCCAGCCGCCGCGGUAAUUC
rnacentral:rRNA from 1 species